rnacentral:lncRNA from 7 species
GUGUUUCUCUCUCUUCCCUUUCUGCACAGGAAUCGUUACUCACUCUGCACACAAUGCCAGGGUAUUCUAUGUCUCUGUGAUGGCAGCAGAGUGCAGCCCUAGGGCUUGACCCCAGCCUCAGCCUUUGCUUGGGGACAGUUAGCAUGGAGACAGCACCUGCCUGCAUAGCCUGAGCUUACUUGGAGGGAAGUCAAUGGUAACGGCCUUCUCUAUGAAAGGAACACUAAGUUUACCUGUGAAGGAGGUAUUCCCACCUACGCCAAAUGCAUGACUGGAGAGAAUUUCAAGGCGUGGGCAUAGAUGCAUGUAACAGAGACUUGAUUUAAAUAAAAAUUGAGUCCAAAUUACUCAUCUGCUUUAAGGACUUUAGUUGUACACAUGUGAACGUCACUGCCCAGCAUGGUUCAUCACAGCUUCCCCUGUUUUUAACACCAUACAGGUCACACUGAAACCCAGUGAUAUCACUGUUCCAAAAUCCCCUUUAUCCUCACGGUGAAUAUGAACACAGUGUUUUAAACACCUUUGUUAAUCCCUGCUGGAGAAUAACAAAUCAUUCGUUUGAUUAAACUUUAUCUCUCAGACUUGGACAGACAUGGCUGCAACAUGAAAUGCCCCAAGUGAUAAGAGAGCUGAGCGGAGCAGGUCACACUAACUCUGUGUUGAAACACAGAUUUAGAUGUUAUACUGAUCUUCAGGUGAAGGCUCAGUUAUUGGAAGUGAUGCAGGCCCUACUUCUCUGAUUGGCACAAGGGCUGAUAAACAUUUCAGGUAGCCCAGGAAGAGUUGAUGAGCCCAGCUGGAAGUUUUGGCUGAUCCCUAGGAAAGGCUCAGCAGCACCAACACGAGCUCUGGAAAACAAUCCCCUUCUCCCAAGACAAUAUCUGGGAUAUGGAAAUAAAUAAAUGGAACCCUGCCUUAUAUUUCCUUAGAAAACAGGGUUGGAGAGCUCAAGGAUCCUCUGUGGGGACCUGAGCUUCCCCCAGCACUGCAGUGCUGGAGCUGGAUGAGCCCCACCAUCUUUAAUCAGAUCACUGGAAAUAUACAGAUGCUGAUCCGAACCCAAAUGGAAAUCUUACAUUAGGACAGAAUAUGGUGUAGGUGUUUUGGAAGCGUGGAUGUGUUCAGUGAAACACUCUCCCUCUGUGGAUGCUAACCUCGCUCGGACUUGUUUGUUCUGCAGCACCUUCCUUGCUCUGUAUGGUUACAAUUUAGCUUGCAUUUUUUUCAACCUAAAAAAAAAAAAAAGAAAAGGGGUAAAGUGAGAAAACAGAGGGUGGGGGGGAGAG